AAAUGCAUAGUGAGUUCAGAGCAUUUGAAUUACUGCUCGGAAAAAAGUUAUAGUUAUCUAACACUGGAACUGCGAAUUCAUGUGAUCAUUAAGCUUACGCAAACCAAGCACGUAUAGAUACCUUUACGCAAAUACGCAGCUGCGUAGUGAAAAUCUGACAACCAUACACAAUUAAUUGGCUAGUGUCAUGCAACGGCAACGGAGACGGCUUCAUACAUUAUCAUUGCAACUUGUGGAAAAACCACUUUUAAGAAGGACUUGCUGUUGAACCAUACAACUAGAAUCAGCCAACAAUACAGAGAAUAGUGUGGCUUUACAAAAGG